GUUGAGGUGUACCCCAUGGGGCUUUUUCCGUAGCCACAUAUCGUGGGAAACACCUCAUAGAGUAACACUGUGGUUUUGCUUUAUUCUCACAGGACUGUUAGUUAGAUCUGCAUUCCCAGGAACUAUAAGACAGUU